rnacentral:rRNA from 1 species
GGACUACAGGGGUAUCUAAUCCUGUUUGAUCCCCACGCUUUCGUGCCUCAGCGUCAAUAUAUGCUUAGUUAGCUGCCUUCGCAAUCGGUGUUCUAUAACAUAUCUAUGCAUUUCACCGCUACAUGUUAUAUUCCGCCAACCUCAACAUAAUUCAAGGCUAAUAGUAUCCAAGGCAGUUUCCGAGUUGAGCUCGGAGAUUUCACCCCAGACUUAAUAGCCCGCCUACACACCCUUUAAACCCAGUAAAUCCGGAUAACGCUUGCACCCUCCGUAUUACCGCGGCUGCUGGCAC